rnacentral:misc_RNA from 1 species
UGGCUCUGGCAUCGAUGAAGAACGCAGCGAAAUGCGAUAAGUAAUGUGAAUUGCAGAAUUCAGUGAAUCAUCGAAUCUUUGAACGCACAUUGCGCCCUCUGGUAUUCCGGGGGGCAUGCCUGUUCGAGCGUCGUCGCACCCCACGAGCCCGGCUCGGUGUUGGGGCGCCCCUUCCCCGGAAGGCGGCCCCGAAAAACAGCGGCGGCGCGGCCCGGCCCGGAGCGCAUUGAUGAUCUCUCGCUCGCGCGGUCGCGGCGGCGUCGGCCGACCAAGCGGGGGCUCCGGCCCCCAUCUUCCAUGGUUUGACCUCGGAUCAGGCAGGGAUACCCGCUGA